AACGAACGCUGGCGGCAGGCUUAACACAUGCAAGUCGAGCGCCCGCAAGGGAGCGGCAGACGGGUGAGUAACGCGUGGGCAUCUACCCAGUUCUACGGAAUAACCCAGGGAAACUUGGACUAAUACCGUAUACGCCCUACGGGGGAAAGAUUUAUCGGAAUUGGAUGAGCCCGCGUUGGAUUAGCUAGUUGGUGAGGUAAUGGCUCACCAAGGCGACGAUCCAUAGCUGGUCUGAGAGGAUGAUCAGCCACACUGGGACUGAGACACGGCCCAGACUCCUACGGGAGGCAGCAGUGGGGAAUAUUGGACGAUGGGCGCAAGCCUGAGCCAGCCAUGCCGCGUGAGUGAUGAAGGCCUUAGGGUUGUAAAGCUCUUUCAGUGGGGAAGAUAAUGACGGUACCCACAGAAGAAGCCCCGGCUAACCUCGUGCCAGCCGCCGCCGUAA
rnacentral:rRNA from 1 species